GAUGAACGCUAGCGGCAGGCUUAAUACAUGCAAGUCGAGGGGGAUCAGUUGGGUAGCAAUACCUGGCUGUGAGACCGGCAAACGGGUGAGGAACACGUACGCAACUUUCCCAAAACUGGUGAAUAGCCCUCCGAAAGGAGGAUUAAUACACCGUAACAUAACGAAAUGGCAUCAUUUUGUUAUUAUAGCAGCAAUGCGGUUUUGGAUAGGCGUGCGCUUGAUUAGGUAGUUGGCGGGGUAACGGCCCACCAAGCCUACGAUCAGUAGGGGGCGUGAGAGCGUGGUCCCCCACACGGGUACUGAGACACGGACCCGACUCCUACGGGAGGCAGCAGUAAGGAAUAUUGGUCAAUGGACGAAAGUCUGAACCAGCCAUGCCGCGUGAAGGAUGAAGG
rnacentral:rRNA from 1 species